ACGCUCGACACCUACGGAGGCAGCAGUGGGGAAUAUUGUACAAUGGGGGAAACCCUGAUGCAGCGACGCCGCGUGAAGGAAGAAGUAUCUCGGUAUGUAAACUUCUAUCAGCAGGGAAGAAAAUGACGGUACCUGACUAAGAAGCCCCGGCUAACUACGUGCCAACAGCCGCGGUAAUCUGAGCGGGCUGGCAAGGC
rnacentral:rRNA from 1 species